rnacentral:rRNA from 1 species
GAGGGGCAGCGGGGAGGAAGCUUGCUUUCUCCGCCGGCGACCGGCGCACGGGUGAGUAACACGUAUGCAACCUGCCCCUGUCAGGGGGACAACCCGCCGAAAGGCGGGCUAAACCCGCGUACAUGCCACCGGGGCAUCCCGGAGGCAGGAAAGGCUUCGGCCGGACAGGGAUGGGCAUGCGGCGCAUUACGCAGUAGGCGGGGUAACGGCCCACCUAACCGACGAUGCGUAGGGGUUCUGAGAGGAAGGUCCCCCACACUGGUACUGAGACACGGACCAGACUCCUACGGGAGGCAGCAGUGAGGAAUAUUGGUCAAUGGUCGGGAGACUGAACCAGCCAAGCCGCGUGAGGGAGGAAGGUACAGAGUAUCGUAAACCUCUUUUGUCAGGGAACAAAGGCGGGGACGUGUCCCCGGAAAAAAAAACCUGAAGAAAAAGCAUCGGCUAACUCCAAGCCAGCAGCCGCGGUAAUACGGAGGAUGCGAGCGUUAUCCGGAUUUAUUGGGUUUAAAGGGUGCGCAGGCGGUCUGUUAAGUCAGCGGUCAAAGCCCGGGGCUCAACCCCGGCCCGCCGUUGAAACUGGCAGUCUCGAGUUGGAGAGAAGUAUGCGGAAUGCGCGGUGUAGCGGUGAAAUGCAUAGAUUUCGGGAAGAACUCCGAUUGCGAAGGCAGCAUGCCGGCUCCACACUGACGCUGAGGCACGAAAGCGUGGGU